UGCCAGCCGCCGCGGUAAUACGUAGGGACCAAGCGUUGUUCGGAUUUACUGGGCGUAAAGGGUGCGUAGGCGGCGUGAUAAGUCAAUUGUGAAAUCUCCGAGCUUAACUCGGAACGGCCAAUUGAUACUAUUGUGCUAGAGUGCAGAAAGGGCAACUGGAAUUCUUGGUGUAGCGGUGAAAUGCGUAGAUAUCAAGAGGAACACCUGAGGCGAAGGCGAGUUGCUAGGCUGACACUGACGCUGAAGUACGAAAGCUAGGGGAGCGAACGGGAUUAGAUA
rnacentral:rRNA from 1 species